CAGUAGCCGCGGUAAAACGAAGGGGGCUAGCGUUGUUCGGAAUUACUGGGCGUAAAGCGCACGUAGGCGGAUAUUUAAGUCAGGGGUGAAAUCCCGCAGCUCAACUGCGGAACUGCCUUUGAUACUGGGUAUCUUGAGUAUGGAAGAGGUUAGUGGAAUUGCGAGUGUAGAGGUGAAAUUCGUAGAUAUUCGCAGGAACACCAGUGGCGAAGGCGGCUAACUGGUCCAUAACUGACGCUGAGGUGCGAAAGCGUGGGGAGCAAACAGGAUUAGAUACCCCUGUAGUCCCUGUCUCUUAUAA
rnacentral:rRNA from 1 species